AGUUUAAAACCUUACCCCCCACUUGAUUCCUCAUUCCCUGCAUAUUGGUAUACACUCAUUACUCUCACACUCUCUCGAUCUCUAUACAACAAACAUAGAGAAAUCAGUUUUUCACACAAAACUCUCUCACCCAACCCCCAGCUCCUCACCCACCCGUUUCACCUCUCUCCCUCUCCGGCGCGUGCUCCGGCGAUGAACCGGCUCUGAUCGGAGUCUCCGGCGACAGCCGCACCCCACACCUAUAUACCCCCCCCUCUGAUGACAUUCUGACGGCGGAGAGCCGUCGCCGUGCGGCGGCGUGACGGCAAGACAAAAACAGAGGAGAGAGAACGAUCGAAGAAGAGAGAGGCCAAGAGAGAGAGAAAGAAACCGGCAGUCGGAGGUUCGGACCGCCGGUCGGUUCUGAUAUCCGGUGGUCAAUUCGUUUUUCCGGCCGAAUGAUGGUUGUUUCGGGCAGAGGCGGCGCGAUGGUGGUCUUGUUCCGACCGGUUGUCCGGUCAGCAGAGGUGGUCUCCGGUUCAGAUCUGGUGCAAUGGGAUCAGCGGUUCGGCUCAGGUCAACAUUCAUUUUCGGGUCACGACUUAGCUUCGGGUCAGAUUUCGGGACUGGGUUGACUCGGUUGAGUCAACUAAGUCAACAGAUGGGUUCGGCUCAACAGUGGUUCAAGCAUGUUCGGGUCAGCUUGGUUCGUGUUAGUUUAUGAAGCGGUUCGGUCGACUCGGUCAACCGAGUCGACUCGGUCAACUCAGUCAUCGAUUCGACAUUUGACACGAAGACUUGAUAAAAAUUAACAGCGUAUUUAUUUCAUUAUGUUAUUUUUAUAAUAUUAAUUCCUACGUGAACGAGCUCGAACCGAUUUAGUUUACUAUUUAGUUUAUAUUUCGUCA